AACGAACGCUGGCGGCAGGCCUAACACAUGCAAGUCGAGCGCUCUCUUCGGAGGGAGCGGCGAACGGGUGAGUAACGCGUGGGAACAUACCCUCUGGUAAGGAACAACAGCUGUAAUGGCUGCUAAUACCUUAUGAUGUCUUCGGACCAAAGAUUUAUCGCCAGAGGAUUGGCCCGCGUUGGAUUAGUUAGUUGGUGGGGUAACGGCCUACCAAGACGACGAUCCAUAGCUGGUUUGAGAGGAUGAUCAGCCACACUGGGACUGAGACACGGCCCAGACUCCUACGGGAGGCAGCAGUGAGGAAUCUUGGACAAUGGGGGCAACCCUGAUCCAGCCAUGCCGCGUGAGUGACGAAGGCCCUAGGGUCGUAAAGCUCUUUCGCCUGUGACGAUAAUGACGGUAGCAGGAGAAGAAACCCCGGCUAACUUCG
rnacentral:rRNA from 1 species